rnacentral:rRNA from 1 species
UGGGGAAUAUUGGACAAUGGGGGAAACCCUGAUCCAGCGAUGCCGCGUGUGCGAAGAAGGCCUGCGGGUUGUAAAGCACUUUAAUCGGGAAAGAAAAGCUUGUGGUUAAUACCCAUAAGAAGUGACGUUACCCGAAGAAUAAGCACCGGCUAACUCUGUGCCAGCAGCCGCGGUAAUACAGAGGGUGCAAGCGUUAAUCGGAAUUACUGGGCGUAAAGGGUGCGUAGGCGGUUGUUUAAUUUAGGUGUGAAAUCCCUAGGCUUAACCUAGGAACGGCAUCUAACAGUGAACAGCUAGAGUAGAGUAGAGGAAAGUAGAAUUUCCGGUGUAGCGGUGAAAUGCGUAGAUAUCGGAAAGAAUACCAGUGGCGAAGGCGACUUUCUGGGCUCAUACUGACGCU